rnacentral:lncRNA from 1 species
AAAAAAUUCGUGCAAAAAAAAAAUUCGUGCAUAAAAAAAAAGAGGUUGUAUUUGUUUACAUUUGUAUUCAACUUAUUGUAAUUGAAAAGUUAGAAAAAAAAAGGAAGAAGAGAGUUCGAGUUUAAAAAAAAAAGAAGGUAUCGAAAUUUUAUGCUUGCAAGUACCGAUCUCAAGAAAUUUUCUAUCUUUCUUGUCCUACCUCCCAACGCCACACUUAGCCUUGAUUUUAUUUUGUUUAGCC